UGAUGUCAAACUCGUCGCUACAGGAAAAAGAAAAAAACUACUUCCGGGUGAAAAUCCGUCAACGAGUGUCCACGUGAAACAACAAAGUGUACAAAACGGAUUCCGAUGAAGACGUAGUUUUUGUUUCUGAAAAGCCCAUUCCCAAGCAUCCAGAGAUUACAUUCGACCGGG